rnacentral:rRNA from 1 species
CAUGCAAGUCGAACGAGAGAUGAAGAGCUUGCUCUUCAAAUCGAGUGGCGAACGGGUGAGUAACGCGUGAGGAACCUGCCUCAAAGAGGGGGACAACAGUUGGAAACGACUGCUAAUACCGCAUAAGCCCACGGCUCGGCAUCGAGCAGAGGGAAAAGGAGCAAUCCGCUUUGAGAUGGCCUCGCGUCCGAUUAGCUAGUUGGUGAGGUAACGGCCCACCAAGGCGACGAUCGGUAGCCGGACUGAGAGGUUGAACGGCCACAUUGGGACUGAGACACGGCCCAGACUCCUACGGGAGGCAGCAGUGGGGAAUAUUGCACAAUGGGGGAAACCCUGAUGCAGCGACGCCGCGUGGAGGAAGAAGGUCUUCGGAUUGUAAACUCCUGUUGUUGAGGAAGAUAAUGACGGUACUCAACAAGGAAGUGACGGCUAACUACGUGCCAGCAGCCGCGGUAAAACGUAGGUCACAAGCGUUGUCCGGAAUUACUGGGUGUAAAGGGAGCGCAGGCGGGAGAACAAGUUGGAAGUGAAAUCCAUGGGCUCAACCCAUGAACUGCUUUCAAAACUGUUUUUCUUGAGUAGUGCAGAGGUAGGCGGAAUUCCCGGUGUAGCGGUGGAAUGCGUAGAUAUCGGGAGGAACACCAGUGGCGAAGGCGGCCUACUGGGCACCAACUGACGCUGAGGCUCGAAAGUGUGGGUAGCAAACAGGAUUAGAUACCCUGGUAGUCCACACCGUAAACGAUGAUUACUAGGUGUUGGAGGAUUGACCCCUUCAGUGCCGCAGUUAACACAAUAAGUAAUCCACCUGGGGAGUACGACCGCAAGGUUGAAACUCAAAGGAAUUGACGGGGGCCCGCACAAGCAGUGGAGUAUGUGGUUUAAUUCGACGCAACGCGAAGAACCUUACCAAGCCUUGACAUCCCUUGACGAUGCUG